AAAGCCUGGACUCCGCUGCAAAGCAAUGAAGGCCUGCAGACUGUGAUCGGCAGUUCACGAGACGAUGGAGAGAUCUAUGCAGGCAACGAAAAAUGGGUGGAAAAGGAGGCCUGGGGCACCCUUUUCCGAGCAGGCACAGAUUCUCUAUUUUGUAGGAUGGCUACAAUGUUAUAUUGGACGCCGGACGAACUAAAGAGCCGUAGCGUGACGUGGAAGUUGUCCAAUAAAUCUAGAUCAUUGGGCCAGACGGAAGCGAAACCUCCAUUGACUCCUGAAAAGGUGGCUUCUUUGAAAGCUCUGUUCAGAAUAUACAUGGGCAAUGCACCUGAAGAAGAACAGAAGAAACGCCUGAAAGAUGUCAGGAAGCAUCUUGCCCAAAAGCUUGGGGACUUGCGGCGCAAGUAAACACGUGCUUCUUGCAGGCAGCGCCGGCUUUGGCAAUGAAAUAGAAGUCCCAUGUGGAUCCAAGCACGCGUCAGCAGAUGGAAAAUGCACCGGGGCUCCUGGAAAGCCGCAGGCACUACCACUCUCUUGGACCCCUUGCCUGCCACGACAAAACAGCAACUACGGCACAGGUGCUUCAGCUGCUGCUUUACAGCAAAAUAAAA